ACGCUCGACACCUACUGGAGGCAGCAGUGGGGAAUAUUGCACAAUGGGGGAAACCCUGAUGCAGCGACGCCGCGUGAGCGAAGAAGUAUUUCGGUAUGUAAAGCUCUAUCAGCAGGGAAGAAACUGACGGUACCUGACUAAGAAGCACCGGCUAAAUACGUGCCAGCAGCCGAGGUAAUCUGAGCGGGCUGGCAAGGC
rnacentral:rRNA from 1 species